rnacentral:lncRNA from 1 species
UGGUCAUAUAAAAAAUAAUUUGAUAAAAAAUAUAUCUGAAACACGGCAAAACCAUAAAAAUGCGACAAUAUUCUGUAUACUAAACUUGGAUAAACUAUUAACUAUGUAAAAUGAGACAUAUAUAUAAACAAUCAAAAGAAUGACUUAAAUAUCAAACUGUAAUUUAUAACAUAAAAAUUUGUCUAUAAACCCAUCAAGCGCAAGACUAAAAAAAUAUCAUUUUCAUAAACACCAUCUAUUUUAAUUGAAAUACCCGACCAUGUAGUAACUAAAGGUGUGACAUAUCACAUAUCACAAAAUUGAUUUAUGUAAAAACACGACACAUACCACAUUUCCUGUAAAAGAAAAAAAC